rnacentral:rRNA from 1 species
AUACGGAGGGUGCAAGCGUUACUCGGAAUCACUGGGCGUAAAGCGCGCGCAGGCGGUCUUUUAAGUUGGAUGUGAAAGCCUACGGCUCAACCGUAGAACUGCAUCCAAAACUAUUAGACUAGAGUGUGGGAGAGGAAGAUGGAAUUAGUUGUGUAGGGGUAAAAUCCGUAGAGAUAACUAGGAAUACCAAACGCGAAGGCAAUCUUCUGGAACACUACUGACGCUGAGGCGCGAAAGCGUGGGGAGCAAACAGGAUUAGAAACCCUAGUAGUCC